UCAACGGUUAGAGCAUGCACUACGAAUUGAGUGCAGUGUAAAGAGAUGUCUUGGUUUCCGUUUUAGCUUGCGUUCGUCACUACCCAAGCUCACUCAAACGUCUUCCAAUUUCGAAUUAAAUUAGGUUCGCGCCCAUUUACUUAAGGAACUGAAACCGGUUCUUAUCAGUCGGAAUUCACUGCUUCAUGGUUGAAUGGUCGAUGAAUUUUGAGGAAUUAGCUCAAGAAAGAACAUCAGAGGAAACAACUGAAAUGCGGACAAGGAAACGCAAAAGAUCUAAAUCUCCAGGAUCAGUCGUCAAAACCUCUGGGUCUAAUAAGAAAACACAAAACGAAGCCUUCGAAAGUCUCCCAAAACUGAACAACGGUGAAGAGAGCAAUGGAUCUGCUAUUAAAUCGUUCGCCAACGGGCGGAAGAAAACGGGCCACGACAUGGACAAACUGCCAAUAAUAACAGAGAACGGAAAGUCGGGAUGUAAUUUACCGAAUCUGAAGAAGAAUUCCUCCAGUACCAAGCUGGCCGAGGAUGGAGCAGACAAACUGCUCUCGCCGGAACUGCUCGUCCUGCCUCAUGUAAAACCAGUCCAGAACUCUAAACCUACUCGCAAAAAUGUUUGGGAAUAGUUUGACGAGAUUUACUUGAAGAGCAGAAUUUUUCGCAAAAGUUUAUCAGUACAGCAACCUACUUUGUAUGUCAAAAGCCAUCACACAUCAUCUACUAUGAUCUCAGCUUUUAAUGUUCAUUUUAAACUGAAGAUGAGUUUUUCCUUCACUGGUUUAUAUAUAAAUUACAAUAUAUCUUUGGUUAAUUAAUAUCUUCAGUUGUGUGUCUAGAAAUGUGUGUUUUGAUUUAUUUGACCAAAUACCAAUACCAUGUUUAGGUAGUUGAGUUUGACAUCAAUUUCAGUACUCGGCACUAAGAAUGGAGACCGAAGAGUAGUCACGAUCUGGUCGAUGACAAUAUUUUGUUGCUCUUCCGAAUCCAUGAUGGCGAUAACGAUAUUCUCGAACUUUUAGUUUAAAUAAUAUAACUAUUAGUUUAAACACUAUUACUACAAAGUACAAUAUAAAAGAUUGUGUUGAACAUUAUAUUAAUUUAACUAUUCUUGGA